UUCAAAUUCAACCAUUUCAAUCUCAUUUAUCAAUUCAAAAUUUAAAUUAACUACCAUACAUCAAAGUCAUAUUACACAUGCUUCAUAAUUCCACUGUUCAAACCAUAUAUACCCCUCAUUCAAAUAUAUAUCACAUUCGGUCAUACAAAACACAUAACCAACAAAUCAAAACAUGCUUAUUUAACUCUUUCACAUAUACAUAACAUAUUUAAUAAUUUAACCUUAUCAAUAACAUUUAUCUAAUCAUCUUUCAAACCAAACUAACAUACCUCAAACCAUGUUUCAUGUUUCAUAAAUCCCAUGUUCGAAACAUAGGACCACAAUUUCAUGUUAUUCGAACUCUUGAAUAUAAUUAAGCUUAUUUCAUUACAAUUUCAUAUAAUGAGCAUGUGUA
rnacentral:lncRNA from 1 species